rnacentral:rRNA from 1 species
GUGCAGCAGUCGAGAAUCUUCGGCAAUGGGCGCAAGCCUGACCGAGCGACGCCGCGUGCGGGAUGAAGGCCUUCGGGUUGUAAUCCGCUGUCAGAGGGGAGGAAAUGGCGGCCCUCAGGGUCGUCUUGACCAAACCUCAGAGGAAGGACGGGCUAAGUUCGUGCCAGCAGCCGCGGUAAGACGAACCGUCCAAACGUUAUUCGGAAUUACUGGGCUUAAAGGGUGCGUAGGCGGCCUGGCAAGUUGGGUGUGAAAGCCCUCGGCUCAACCGAGGAAUUGCGCCCAAAACUGCUAGGCUUGAGGGAGAUAGAGGUGAGCGGAACUUGGGGUGGAGCGGUGAAAUGCAUUGAUAUCCCAAGGAACACCAGAGGCGAAAGCGGCUCACUGGGUCUCUUCUGACGCUGAGGCACGAAAGCUAGGGGAGCGAACGGGAUUAGAUACCCCUGUAGUCC